AGUGAACGCUGGCGGUAGGCCUAACACAUGCAAGUCGAACGGCAGCACAGUAAGAGCUUGCUCUUACGGGUGGCGAGUGGCGGACGGGUGAGGAAUACAUCGGCAUCUACUUUUUCGUGGGGGAUAACGUAGGGAAACUUACGCUAAUACCGCAUACGACCUACGGGUGAAAGCAGGGGAUCUUCGGACCUUGCGCGAUUGAAUGAGCCGAUGUCGGAUUAGCUAGUUGGCGGGGUAAAGGCACACCAAGGCGACGAUCCGUAGCUGGUCUGAGAGGAUGAUCAGCCAAACUGGAACAGAGACACGGUCCAGACUCCUACGGGAGGCAGCAGUGGGGAAUAUUGGACAAUGGGCGCAAGCCUGAUCCAGCCAUGCCGCGUGAGUGAAGAAGGCCUUCGGGUUGUAAAGCCCUUUUGUUAGGAAAGAAAAGCAGCAGGUUAAUACCCCGCUGUUCUGACGGUACCCAAAGAAUAAGCACCGGCUAACUUCGUG
rnacentral:rRNA from 1 species